UUUGUUUUUAUUUAUUGGAAUGGAGCUUAGCGUUUUGGGUGCUCUUGUUUUUAUUUAUGAGUGGUAGGAUAUAAGUCAUAAAACUAGGGAAGGAAAAGUUUUUCUAUUUCCAGGACUCUUUCUUCAGUUAGUUUAACAUAUUCAAGGUAAAGGCUUUUUAAUGAUAGCUGGUGCAAGACCAUUCAAAGUUUUAGUGUUCCUCUCUUUUCCGGUUUGUUUAAGUGUGGUUGUAAAAAGUUUUGGCAUAGCCCACACAUGGCUUGGUGAAGUUAAAUCUAUGCAAAAAUGGUUAGUGUUGAUUAAAAUUAAAAAAUGCAGUAAACUGUCUUUUAUCUUUGGUUUAUUGAAUUCACAGAUAUUGUUGAAAACUAGUCAACAUAAAGUAAUUUAUGAUUUGAGGGUUUGUAAUCUUUACACCUUUAUAUUUCUAAUGUAGAUCACCCGUCAAGAGGGACAACCAGAGGAAAUGUCUUUAAUCAUAAAUUUACUGCCAGAGAGAGUAGAAAAUUUAAAGGUGCCUAGCCAAGAGAUGGUAAGUACUGAAUUUUUGAAUUUUAUCAAGCGAUGACCUGAAUCAAUCAUGUUCACCACUUUCUAUCCACAUAUCAUUUAAGGAAUUUU
rnacentral:lncRNA from 1 species